rnacentral:rRNA from 1 species
GAUGAACGCUGGCGGCGUGCCUAAUACAUGCAAGUCGAGCGAACGGACGAGAAGCUUGCUUCUCUGAUGUUAGCGGCGGACGGGUGAGUAACACGUGGAUAACCUACCUAUAAGACUUGGAUAACUUCGGGAAACCGUAGCUAAUACCGGAUAAUAUUUUGAACCGCAUGGUUCAAAAGUGAAAGACGGUCUUGCUGUCACUUAUAGAUGGAUCCGCGCUGCAUUAGCUAGUUGGUAAGGUAACGGCUUACCAAGGCAACGAUGCAUAGCCGACCUGAGAGGGUGAUCGGCCACACUGGAACUGAGACACGGUCCAGACUCCUACGGGAGGCAGCAGUAGGGAAUCUUCCGCAAUGGGCGAAAGCCUGACGGAGCAACGCCGCGUGAGUGAUGAAGGUCUUCGGAUCGUAAAACUCUGUUAUUAGGGAAGAACAUAUGUGUAAGUAACUGUGCACAUCUUGACGGUACCUAAUCAGAAAGCCACGGCUAACUACGUG